AGUGAACGCUGGCGGUAGGCCUAACACAUGCAAGUCGAACGGCAGCACAGUAAGAGCUUGCUCUUACGGGUGGCGAGUGGCGGACGGGUGAGGAAUACAUCGGAAUCUACUUUUUCGUGGGGGAUAACGUAGGGAAACUUACGCUAAUACCGCAUACGACCUACGGGUGAAAGCAGGGGAUCUUCGGACCUUGCGCGAUUGAAUGAGCCGAUGUCGGAUUAGCUAGUUGGCGGGGUAAAGGCCCACCAAGGCGACGAUCCGUAGCUGGUCUGAGAGGAUGAUCAGCCACACUGGAACUGCGGAACGGUCCAGACUCCUACGGGAGGCAGCAGUGGGGAAUAUUGGACAAUGGGCGCAAGCCUGAUCCAGCCAUACCGCGUGCGUGACGAAGGCCUUCGGGUUUUAAAGCCCUUUUGUUGGGAAAGAAAAGCAGCAGGUUAAUACCCCGCUGUUCUGACGGUACCCAAAGAAUAAGCACCGGCUAACUUCGUG
rnacentral:rRNA from 1 species